AAUGAACGCUGGCGGCGUGCCUAAUACAUGCAAGUCGUGCGGCAGCGAGCCCUUCGGGGUGUCGGCGAGCGGCGGACGGCUGAGUAACGCGUAGGAAUCUACCCCAAAGUGAGGAAUAACCUCGAGAAAUCGAGGCUAAUGCCGCAUAUGGUCUUCGGAUUAAAGGAUUUAUCCGCUUUGGGAAGAGCCUGCGUAAGAUUAGCUAGUUGGUGAGGUAAUGGCUCACCAAGGCGACGAUCUUUAGCUGGUCUGAGAGGAUGACCAGCCAGACUGGAACUGAGACACGGUCCAGACUCCUGCGGGAGGCAGCAGUAAGAAAUCUUCCACAAUGGGCGAAAGCCUGAUGGAGCAACGCCGCGUGCAGGAUGAAGGCCUUCGGGUCGUAAACUGCUUUUAUAAGUGAGGAAUAUGACGGUAACUUAUGAAUAAGGAUCGGCUAACUCCGUGCCAGCAGCCGCCGUAA
rnacentral:rRNA from 1 species